rnacentral:snRNA from 1 species
AUAAUCAUAUGUGUGAUA